AUUGAACGCUGGCGGCAGGCCUAACACAUGCAAGUCGAACGAGUGGCGGACGGGUGAGUAAUGUCUGGGAAACUGCCUGAUGGAGGGGGAUAACUACUGGAAACGGUAGCUAAUACCGCAUACCAUCAGAUUGGCCCCGAUGGGAUUAGCUAGUAGGUGGGGUAACGUCUCACCGGGGCGACGAUCCCUAGCUGGUCUGUGAGGAUGACCAGCCACACUGGAACUGAGACCCGGUCCAGACUCCUACGGGAGGCAGCAGUGGGGAAUAUUGCACAAUGGGCGCAAGCCUGAUGCAGCCAUGCCGCGUGUAUGAAGAAGGCCUUCGGGUUGUAAAGUACUUUCAGCGGGGAGGCGUUACCCGCAGAAGAAGCACCGGCUAACUCCGUGCCAGCCGCCGCGGUAAUAC
rnacentral:rRNA from 1 species